GGGACUAUAGUUAACAAUAACAUUUGGGUUGCAUUCAAAAAGUGCUGCAAGCAGCUAGCCUCA
rnacentral:tRNA from 1 species